CUAAAGUAUUAUGAUUCUCAUCUAAUUUCAAGAUGUAUAUAGGAGCCGUUUAAAAGUAUUUUGUAUUAUAAUCUGUCACCAAAAAUCAACUAGCAGAGUUUUAUAAUGUGUGUAGGUUUACCCAAUGGGAAUUAAAUUUUAAUUUAUAAGUCUUUCUAUCACUGUAGAAAUUUAGGACAAGGUAGCAUUUGGUAUUAACAUAGAAGAAUAUUCUAUAGCUUUUGUUUUUUUUUUUAGUUUCAAAUUGAUCUAAAAGAAAGUACACUUUGAAUUUUUCCUCCUAGUGUUCUUGUGUUAUAUUAGAGUAUUUUCAUGACAUUGUUUUUAAUGUAAACAUUAUUUUAUUAAGUCAUUAGUUAAAAAGUAUUUUAAUACAUUAUUCAAAUUGUUUUCAGUUAUUGGUUUAAAAAAAAAAACAGUAUCUGUUACAAAUGUGAAAU
rnacentral:lncRNA from 1 species